rnacentral:rRNA from 1 species
CAAUCGAACCCGGAGAUAGCUGGUUCUCCCCGAAAUAGCUUUAGGGCUAGCGUCGCAGCGAGAGAGCCGUGAAGGUAGAGCACUGAAUAUGCGAUGGCCGCAUCCCGCGGUACUGAGCAUAAUCAAACUCCGAAUGUCACGGUGUCAUCUGCGGCAGUCAGACGGCGAGUGAUAAGGUCCGUCGUCAAGAGGGAAACAGCCCAGACCAUCAGCUAAGGUCCCAAAGUGCAUGCUAAGUGGAAAAGGAAGUGGAGACGUGCAGACAACUAGGAGGUUGGCUCAGAAGCAGCCAUCCUUCAAAGAGUGCGUAACAGCUCACUAGUCGAAUGACUCUGCGCCGAUAAUUUACCGGGGCUAAGCAUGACACCGAAGCUAUGGACAGGAAUGUGGUAGGGGAGCAUUGCAUGCAGCGGAGAAGCAUGACCGAGAGGGCAUGUGGAGCGCAUGGAAGAGAGAAUGCCGGCGUGAGUAGCGGCACGUGGGUGAGAAUCCCACGCACCGAUGGCCCAAGGUCUCCAGAGGAAGGCUCGUCCUCUCUGGGAUAGUCGGGACCUAAGGCGAGGCCGAAAGGCGUAGCCGAUGGACGACGGGUGGAUAUUCCCGUACCCGAUGUGUGGCGAUGGAGUGACGGAGAAGGCUCAGGCAACCAGCUGCUGGAAUAGCUGGGGCAAGCGAGAUACCUGCGCACCAGGGAAAUCCGGUGCGCGCAAGGGGAAGGCGCGAAGCAUACGGAAAGCUGCGGCAAGUACGGAAAAGCUGAGAGCAGGCUUCCAGGAAAAGCUUCUAGCACAACACGCAUCGGCCCGUACCGAAAAUGGACACACAUGGGCAAGGAGAGAAUCCUGAGGUGAGCGAGAGAACUAUAGCUAAGGAACUCUGCAAAAUGACCCCGUAACUUAGGGAGAAGGGGUGCUCCAGAAAUGGAGCCGCAGUAAAACGGCCCAAGCGACUGUUUACCAAAAACACAGCUCUCUGCGAAGGCGCAAGCCGAAGUAUAGGGGGUGACGCCUGCCCGGUGCUGGAAGGUCAAGGGGAGCUGUCAGCGCAAGCGAAGCAGCGAGCCGAAGCCCCAGUAAACGGCGGCCGUAACUAUAACGGUCCUAAGGUAGCGAAAUUCCUUGUCGGGCAAGUUCCGACCCGCACGAAAGGCGUAACGAUUUGGGCGCUGUCUCAGCUGUAGACUCGGUGAAGUCUUAGUACCUGUGAAGAUGCAGGUUGCCCGCGACUAGACGGAAAGACCCCAUGGAGCUUCACUGCAGGUUGACAUUGGGCUUGGAUGCAUGAUGUACAGGAUAGGUGGGAGGCUGUGAGCCGUGCGCGCCAGCGUACGGGGAGCCGCUGUUGGGAUACCACCCUUCAUGCAUCUAGGUCCUAACCGGAGGCAACGGGCCACGGGACAGUGUCAGUCGGGCAGUUUGACUGGGGCGGUCGCCUCCCAAAGAGUAACGGAGGCGCCCAAAGAUACCCUCAGCAUGGAUGGAAACCAUGCAUAGAGUGCAAAGGCAUAAGGGUGUCUGACUGCGAGACAUACAGGUCGAGCAGGGACGAAAGUCGGGCUUAGUGAUCCGGCGGAUCCGAAUGGAAGGGCCGUCGCUCAACGGAUAAAAGCUACCCUGGGGAUAACAGGCU